GAUGAACGCUGGCGGCGUGCCUAAUACAUGCAAGUCGAGCGAACGGACGAGAAGCUUGCUUCUCUGAUGUUAGCGGCGGACGGGUGAGUAACACGUGGAUAACCUACCUAUAAGACUGGGAUAACUUCGGGAAACCGGAGCUAAUACCGGAUGAUAUUUUGAACCGCAUGGUUCAAAAGUGAAAGACGGUCUUGCUGUCACUUAUAGAUGGAUCCGCGCUGCAUUAGCUAGUUGGUAAGGUAACGGCUUACCAAGGCAACGAUGCAUAGCCGACCUGAGAGGGUGAUCGGCCACACUGGAACUGAGACACGGUCCAGACUCCUACGGGAGGCAGCAGUAGGGAAUCUUCCGAAAUGGGCGAAAGCCUGACGGAGCAACGCCGCGUGAGUGAUGAAGGUCUUCGGAUCGUAAAACUCUGUUAUUAGGGAAGAACAUAUGUGUAAGUAACUGUGCACAUCUGGACGGUACCUAAUCAGAAAGCCACGGCUAACUACGU
rnacentral:rRNA from 1 species